UGUCUCUUUGGAAAUGGGCAAAGAGACAUCUUGUGGCUGGUGGUGUUCAUAUAUCAGUCAGGGGCAGAGAAGAUGGCAGUCUAUUGUUUAUACAAGCUUGAUGUCUGACUUGAUGGGUAAAGCUGUUUUAUAUCCAGGACUCAUAA